GAUCAACAUACUAUCCAAACUAAGAGGAGGGGUGGACUUGGCGUCCGUGGUCAGAGGCCAAAUGAGGUCCGUUUUUACAAAUGGACUUAUGUCCAAGUAGAGUUUGACUGGUCAAAAGGGAAAACUGUGCUUUUUGGAAACAAGUUCAUACAAAACUAUAUUAAGAUCAAUAAGAAGAGCAACAAAUGAUCGAUUUAAGAUAAAAGACCUGGAAUAUGAAGUAGCAGAAGUAUUGAGAAAUGCUCCAAACCAUCCUGGAGGAGCAAAUUAUGUGAAGAAGAAUGUAGCUGGCAAAAGGAAAAGAGGAAUGGUUGAGGAGGAAAAAGAAAACUGAUUAUCAUGCAAUGAAAUAAAUCAAUAUCUUCCCUUAAUUAUU